rnacentral:rRNA from 1 species
GGGUAGUUUGACUGGGGCGGUCUCCUCCUAAAGAGUAACGGAGGAGCACGAAGGUUGGCUAAUCCUGGUCGGACAUCAGGAGGUUAGUGCAAUGGCAUAAGCCAGCUUGACUGCGAGCGUGACGGCGCGAGCAGGUGCGAAAGCAGGUCAUAGUGAUCCGGUGGUUCUGAAUGGAAGGGCCAUCGCUCAACGGAUAAAAGGUACUCCGGGGAUAACAGGCUGAUACCGCCCAAGAGUUCAUAUCGACGGCGGUGUUUGGCACCUCGAUGUCGGCUCAUCACAUCCUGGGGCUGAAGUAGGUCCCAAGGGUAUGGCUGUUCGCCAUUUAAAGUGGUACGCGAGCUGGGUUUAGAACGUCGUGAGACAGUUCGGUCCCUAUCUGCCGUGGGCGCUGGAGAACUGAGGGGGGCUGCUCCUAGUACGAGAGGACCGGAGUGGACGCAUCACUGGUGUUCGGGUUGUCAUGCCAAUGGCACUGCCCGGUAGCUAAAUGCGGAAGAGAUAAGUGCUGAAAGCAUCUAAGCACGAAACUUGCCCCGAGAUGAGUUCUCCCUGACUCCCUGAGAGUCCUGAAGGAACGUUGAAGACGACGACGUUGAUAGGCCGGGUGUGUAAGCGCAGCGAUGCGUUGAGCUAACCGGUACUAAUGAA